ACGUGUGAAGGAUAGCAGUAAAGCUCUUUUUAUAUAAGGCUUUUUCUGCCUUAUAUAAAAAAGCGGGAACAGAUAGCCUGACCCUUG
rnacentral:sRNA from 1 species